rnacentral:rRNA from 1 species
AUGAACGCUAGCGAAGGCUUACACAUGCAAGUCGAGGGGUAUUAGUUUUCGGACUAAGAGACCGGCGCACGGGUGCGUGACGCGUAUGCAAUCUACCUUUUACAGAGGGAUAGCCCAGAGAAAUUUGGAUUAAUACCUCAUAGUAUAGCAGUUUCGCGUGAAACCACUAUUAAAGUCACAACGGUAAAAGAUGAGCAUGCGUCCCAUUAGCUAGUUGGUAAGGUAACGGCUUACCAAGGCUACGAUGGGUAGGGGUCCUGAGAGGGAGAUCCCCCACACUGGUACUGAGACACGGACCAGACUCCUACGGGAGGCAGCAGUGAGGAAUAUUGGACAAUGGGCGCAAGCCUGAUCCAGCCAUGCCGCGUGCAGGAUGACGGUCCUAUGGAUUGUAAACUGCUUUUGUACGAGAAGAAACACUCCUAUGUAUAGGAGCUUGACGGUAUCGUAAGAAUAAGGAUCGGCUAACUCCAUGCCAGCAGCCGCGGUAAUACGGAGGAUCCAAGCGUUAUCCGGAAUCAUUGGGUUUAAAGGGUCCGUAGGCGGUUUAGUAAGUCAGUGGUGAAAGCCCAUCGCUCAACGGUGGAACGGCCAUUGAUACUGCUGAACUUGAAUUAUUAGGAAGUAACUAGAAUAUGUAGUGUAGCGGUGAAAUGCUUAGAGAUUACAUGGAAUACCAAUUGCGAAGGCAGGUUACUACUAAUUGAUUGACGCUGAUGGACGAA